rnacentral:rRNA from 1 species
UACCCGCGCCCCGAGUGGUGAGCGCGUUUAUUGGGUUUAGAGCGUCCGUAGCCGGUCCUGCAACUCCUCAGCGAAAUCCUUAAUUGAAUUAAGGGCUGCCUGGGGAAACUACAGGACUUGGAACCGGGAGAGGUGGGAGGUACUCGUGGGGUAGGGGUAAAAUCCUAUAAUCCGACGAGGACCACCUGUGGCGAAAGCGUCCCACUUGAACGGCUUCGACGGUGAGGGACGAAAGCCUGGGGAGCAAAUGGG